rnacentral:rRNA from 1 species
UACAGAGGUCUCAAGCGUUGUUCGGAUUCAUUGGGCGUAAAGGGUGCGUAGGCGGCGCGGUAAGUCGGGUGUGAAAUCUCGGAGCUUAACUCCGAAACUGCAUUCGAUACUGCCGUGCUUGAGGACUGGAGAGGAGACUGGAAUUUACGGUGUAGCGGUGAAAUGCGUAGAUAUCGUAAGGAAGACCAGUGGCGAAGGCGGGUCUCUGGACAAGUAUUGACGCUGAGGUGCGAAAGCGUGGGGAGCAAACAGG